UUUUUUGAUUCAGAUAAUGGUGGCUGUUAGGAAUAACAGCAUUAAAAGGGAAUAGUGUGCAAAUCACUGGCUGUCCCGCAACUGUAAGCAGUACCUGAAUUUUAUCUACCUGAUGUUCAUUGCCGGCAGGCCCGGUGAGAAGAACAGAUAAAAUACUGCGAGCCAGGAAACCUGCCUUAUCUGCCUGUUGACA
rnacentral:ncRNA from 1 species